GACGAACGCUGGCGGCGUGCUUAACACAUGCAAGUCGAACGGAAAGGCCCUGCUUUUGUGGGGUGCUCGAGUGGCGAACGGGUGAGUAACACGUGAGUAACCUGCCCUUGACUUUGGGAUAACUUCAGGAAACUGGGGCUAAUACCGGAUAGGAGCUCCCGCUGCAUGGUGGGGGUUGGAAAGUUUCGGCGGUUGGGGAUGGACUCGCGGCUUAUCAGCUUGUUGGUGGGGUAGUGGCUUACCAAGGCUUUGACGGGUAGCCGGCCUGGGAGGGUGACCGGGCACAUUGGUACUGAGGUACGGACCAGACUCCAACAGGGGGCAGCAGGGGGGAAUAUUACACAAUGGGCGGACGCCUGUUAAGGCGACGCCGCGUGCGGGAUGACGGCCUUCGGGUUGUAAACCGCUUUCGCCUGAGACGAAGCGUGAGUGACGGUACUGGGUAAAGAAGCACCGGCUAACUACGUG
rnacentral:rRNA from 1 species